GCGGGUGUGGCGGAAUGGAAGACGCACUAGACUUAGGAUCUAGCGCUUUUGGCGUGCAGGUUCAAGUCCUGUCACCCGUA
rnacentral:tRNA from 1 species